CCUCUGUUCUGCUGGCGGUUUCAGGGAAUAGUAAUCACCCAGACAUUGUGUGGGUUUGCUUUCCUUCUUCUCCUGGAGGAAUGGAGGGUGUUGUUGACAGCCAGCCUAGAGCCCUCCAGUCUGCCUUCUGCACCUCUCCCAUGCACUCACUUAGCUUCUCUCUGUAAAACUACCGAAUUUAAGCUUCAGAGGCUGGGGGUGAGCACAGGUUGUAUGAUUAGCUACAACCUAGGAGGGCAGCAGGUGCCUGUCUCCACUCUGUGACAGAGGUUGUGUUGAAGUGCACUGCAGCACCCUGGU
rnacentral:lncRNA from 1 species